AUUGCUCAUUGUUAUGAUCAUACAAUUUGUGGUUUCCACAUUGAAAAUGCAUGAUCAACUGUUUCUACACAGCACGACUUGGUCAUUCUAGCCCAUCAUCAACAUUCAAUUUUGUGUCUAUAACAUUAACGUCCUCAAAUUUCGGCGAUUCAUGCAACAAAGAUGACCAAUCGCCAAGGGCUUUACUUCAAUGUCAUUCAAUGAACACAUUCUUUACAUCAGCAAUAUUGGAUCAUUACAAUCUCUAUCAAACAACUUGAUCAUCUUGAUCAAUGAUUGCCAAAAUGUCUGAGUUGGGCGGUUCGGCCUAUAUCGAACCGAACCGAUGUUGAUCUAGAAUGCUUCAACAGGUCAAGUCAGUUCGGCUAUAAAAUCCAUCUCCCGUUGCCUUGUUUGAUGGUUCAAGAGCUCGAAGGGCUCUCUCAUUUGCUUUCGAUAGUUUGAGGGUCUCCUUUGCCACCAAACGUCGUUUGCUUCACCGGCAAGCCUCCCCUACUCUCUCUCCCCCUUGCAUCCAAGAUGGCUUCUUCCUCUGCUUUUGCCGCUUCUUCAUCGUUGGGAAGAGCUAGGGUUUGAAUUCUUCUCUCCAUCUCUCUCUCUCCAUGGUGCGUCCACAGCGGCUCCUUCCAC
rnacentral:lncRNA from 1 species